GCCUCGCUGCAUUCUGCUCAAUCACCCCUUCUCGACUCUGCCCACGAUUUCUUUGCAGAGAAACGUGGGGAAGUCGAAUGGAAGUGCUGAGGUGUUGAGAAGUGAAAACGGAAGAGGGGAGAGGACCAAAGCCUUGGGGUGCAGCCCUGCCCCACUCGCAGGUGUUCCUUUAGGCCGCUUGCCCCGUGCGUCCAUCAACCCACCCCACCUUUCCCCAUCUGGGCUCCAGGUCCAGGACGUCCUGCCGAGAUUGGUGGGACAAAAGACACAAACCGACAAGGCCUGGGGAAAGGAGAAUGCCUCCACCUGGAUAGGAAAACAAAUCACGUGUGUCCCUCGCUCAUCUCCAGCCAAGGCUAUAGUGUGAGUAGAAAGCUCUGGAAACACAGUGGCUCUCUUAUAGAUCACAGUAGCUGUUUUAUCAAGUAUGCUGUGAUGUUGGCCCUACCUGCAAAAUAUGAUAAAAUGAAAUCACC